rnacentral:rRNA from 1 species
UACGGAGGGUGCAAGCGUUAAUCGGAAUUACUGGGCGUAAAGCGUGCGCAGGCGGUUGUGCAAGACAGAUGUGAAAUCCCCGGGCUUAACCUGGGAACUGCAUUUGUGACUGCACGGCUAGAGUGCGGCAGAGGGGGAUGGAAUUCCGCGUGUAGCAGUGAAAUGCGUAGAUAUGCGGAGGAACACCGAUGGCGAAGGCAAUCCCCUGGGCCUGCACUGACGCUCAUGCACGAAAGCGUGGGGAGCAAACAGG